CAAUAGCGUAUAUUAAAGUUGUUGCGGUAAAAAAGCUCGUAGUUGGAUUUCUACCGAAGAUAGCCGGUCGGGUCUUCGACCUUGUAUCUGGCUUUGUCUUUGGUAUCCUCAUAGGGAACGUUUCUGCGCUUUAUUGCGUGGUGCGGUAUCUAUGACUUUUACUUUGAGGAAAUUAGAGUGUUCACGGCAGGCAAACGCCUUGAAUAUAUUAGCAUGGAAUAAUAACAUAGGAUCUUCGUCCUAUUUUGUUGGUUUCUAGGGCUAAGAUAAUGAUUAAUAGGGAUAAUUGGGGGCAUCUGUAUCAACGCGUCAGAGGUGGAAUUCUUGGAUUGCGUUGCGACAAACUACUGCGAAAGCAUUUGCCAAGGAUGUUUUCAUUGA
rnacentral:rRNA from 1 species